UGUGGGAGGGGGCUUGCUCCCGAUGGCGGCGUGUCAGUCAUGAAUAAGCGACUGACGCACUGCUAUCGGGAGCAAGCCCCCUCCCACA
rnacentral:misc_RNA from 1 species